rnacentral:rRNA from 1 species
AGCAGCCGCGGUAAUUCCAGCUCCAAUAGCGUAUAUUAAAGUUGUUGCAGUUAGAAAGCUCGUAGUUGAAUUUCGGGGUUAGUAGGUUGGUCAUGCCUCUGGUAUGUACUGGUCUCACUGAUUCCUCCUUCCUGAUGAACCUUAAUGCCAUUAAUUUGGUGUUUUGGGGAAUUUGGACUGUUACUUUGAAAAAAUUAGAGUGUUUAAAGCAAGCUAACGCUUGAAUACAUUAGCAUGGAAUAAUGAAAUAGGACGUUCGAUCCUAUUUUGUUGGUUUCUAGGAUUGACGUAAUGAUUAAUAGGGAUAGUUGGGGGCAUUAGUAUUCAAUUGUCAGAGGUGAAAUUCUUGGAUUUAUUGAAGACUGACUACUGCGAAAGCAUUUGCCAAGGAUGUUUUCAUUAAUCAAGAACGAAAGUUAGGGGAUCGAAGACGAUCAGAUACCGUCGUAGUCUUAACCAUAAACUAUGCCGACUAGGGAUCGGAUGAUGUUAAUUUUUUAAUGACUCAUUCGGCGCCUUACG